rnacentral:tRNA from 1 species
GGAUGAUUAGCUCAAUGGACAGAGCAGCUGACUUCUAAUCAGCAGGUUGCAGGUUCGAGUCCUGCAUCACCCAC